rnacentral:rRNA from 1 species
ACGAACGCUGGCGGCACGCUUAACACAUGCAAGUCGAACGAGAGAAGAGGAGCUUGCUUUUCUGAUCUAGUGGCGGACGGGUGAGUAACACGUGAGCAAUCUGCCUUUCAGAGGGGGAUACCGAUUGGAAACGAUCGUUAAUACCGCAUAACAUAAUUGAACCGCAUGAUUUGAUUAUCAAAGAUUUAUCGCUGAAAGAUGAGCUCGCGUCUGAUUAGCUAGUUGGUAAGGUAACGGCUUACCAAGGCGACGAUCAGUAGCCGGACUGAGAGGUUGAUCGGCCACAUUGGGACUGAGACACGGCCCAGACUCCUACGGGAGGCAGCAGUGGGGAAUAUUGCACAAUGGAGGAAACUCUGAUGCAGCGAUGCCGCGUGAGGGAAGAAGGUUUUAGGAUUGUAAACCUCUGUCUUCAGGGACGAAAAAAGACGGUACCUGAGGAGGAAGCUCCGGCUAACUACGUGCCAGCAGCCGCGGUAAUACGUAGGGAGCGAGCGUUGUCCGGAAUUACUGGGUGUAAAGGGAGCGUAGGCGGGAUCGCAAGUCAGAUGUGAAAACUAUGGGCUUAACCCAUAAACUGCAUUUGAAACUGUGGUUCUUGAGUGAAGUAGAGGUAAGCGGAAUUCCUAGUGUAGCGGUGAAAUGCGUAGAUAUUAGGAGGAACAUCAGUGGCGAAGGCGGCUUACUGGGCUUUAACUGACGCUGAGGCUCGAAAGCGUGGGGAGCAAACAGGAUUAGAUACCCUGGUAGUCCACGCCGUAAACGAUGAUUACUAGGUGUGGGGGGACUGACCCCUUCCGUGCCGCAGCAAACGCAAUAAGUAAUCCACCUGGGGAGUACGACCGCAAGGUUGAAACUCAAAGGAAUUGACGGGGGCCCGCACAAGCAGUGGAGUAUGUGGAUUAAUUCGAAGCAACGCGAAGAACCUUACCAGGUCUUGACAUCGUAUGCAUAGCUCAGAGAUGAGUGAAAUCUCUUCGGAGACAUAUAGACAGGUGGUGCAUGGUCGUCGUCAGCUCGUGUCGUGAGAUGUUGGGUUAAGUCCCGCAACGAGCGCAACCCUUACUGUUAGUUGCUACGCAAGAGCACUCUAGCAGGACUGCCGUUGACAAAACGGAGGAAGGUGGGGAUGACGUCAAAUCAUCAUGCCCCUUAUGACCUGGGCCUCACACGUACUACAAUGGCUGUCAACAGAGGGAAGCAAAGCCGCGAGGUGGAGCAAACCCCUAAAAGCAGUCUUAGUUCGGAUUGUAGGCUGCAACCCGCCUACAUGAAGUCGGAAUUGCUAGUAAUCGCAGAUCAGCAUGCUGCGGUGAAUACGUUCCCGGGCCUUGUACACACCGCCCGUCACGCCAUGGGAGUCGGUAACACCCGAAGCCUGUAGUCUAACCGCAAGGAGGACGCAGUCGAAGGUGGGAUUGAUGACUGGGGUG